UGUUUCAAUUAAGUUUGUUUUUUUCGGUCAUCUUUCUUUUUUUAAAGUUAAAGUUCCAAAUUUGAUUUGGCUGUGUGAAUGUUCCUUUAUUUUCCCAUUUGAGAUUCUUAUUGAUGUUGGAUUAUCCUUUUGGUUGGGUGAUUAAGUUUGAUUUAGAUAUGUAAAUAUGUCAAAUUUGAUUUAGGUAUGUGAAACUUUUUUUCGUCAUCUUCCUUUUCAUCAAUGUUGAAGUUCCCAAAUUUGAUCUGGAGACCCUUUUAAGCCCAAAGGUCUUUUCUGGUUUUCUGGUAAAGGUCCAGCAGAGAUUUUAUUGUCUUUAGAUGUUCUGCUCAUCUGGUCAUGAAAGUUGAAAGCACAUAUCCAUGGUUUUCGUGUUCUAUUUUGGAUUUCUGUUUCACAUUUUUGUUCUGCUUUCUCAAAUGUAGUAACCUUUCUUUAUCAGAAUUUCUAUUGUUAUGUAGAAAAAGAGCGUAUUGGAACCAAUUGUUGUGCUCUUUCUCUGUUGAUACCUCUUUACAGGGAAUGAUUUAAUAAUAAAGUGUUCCGUGAAACAUAAAAUAUGAAGACAA